UGACAUGAAGGCUUAUAUAAUUCCAAAUGAAAGGGGGAGCUUUAACUCCAAAAUUUAUUGUUUCACACCUUUCAAGUUUGGAUAAAUUAAAUAACCAGACACUUGAAUUCAUUUAUAGAAUUUAUUUCCUUGUUUAUUGAGCAAUUCACUUUACAUAUACUCAAUAUUUUGUCAUCAUCAAAAAGGAGGAGAUUGUGGAGUGAUUGAUUAAAACCCUAUUUGAUUUUGAUGAGCUCAAAGCAUUUGAGUAUAUCUUUUGUUUUCUAAUGAAUUCAAUCGAGUGUUUCAGUGAAAAUCUUGUCUAAGUGUUUCUAGAUUUGGUUCAAGAUAUUUUGGAUAAGUUAAGAAGUCAGUUUGAACCAAAGUCUGAGACUCGAGUCGACUCCGGGAUACUACGAGUCGACUCCAAGCGUAUCAGAAGCACUGGC
rnacentral:lncRNA from 1 species